CUGGCGGCGUGCUUACACAUGCAGUCGAAGGGGGUUAUUUUGGAAGCGGAAUAGUUUACUAGGAAGUGGAAGAGAUAACUUAGUGGCGGACGGGUGAGUAACGCGUGAGAGAUCUGUCCAUUGCAGGGGGACAACAGUUGGAAACGGCUGCUAAUACCGCAUACGCGUGUCGUAAGAUGCGUGAAAGGAGUAAUCCGGCAAUGGAGGAACUCGCGUCCUAUCAGCUAGUACGUGGGGUAACGGCCCACCUAGGCGAUGACGGGUAGCCGGCCUGAGAGGGCGCACGGCCACACUGGGACUGAGAUACGGCCCAGACUCCUACGGGAGGCAGCAGUGGGGAAUAUUGGGCAAUGGGCGCAAGCCUGACCCAGCGACGCCGCGUGAGUGAAGAAGUCUUUCGGGACGUAAAACUCUUUAUGUGUGGGAAGAAGAAAGUGACGGUACCACACGAAUAAGCCCCGGCAAACUACGUGCCAGCAGCCGCGGUAAUACAGAUAGAGGGGCAAAGCAGUAUGUCUGGAAUUACUGGGCGUAAAGGGCACGCAGGCGGAUUGAUAAGUCAGCUGUAAAAUGCGGAGGCUCAAACCUUUCGGUAUGUCGGUUUGAUAACUAGUCAGUCAUUGAGUAUGUGAGAGGGAAGUGGGAAUUCCCAGGUGUAGACGGU
rnacentral:rRNA from 1 species